UCUUGCAGCACAGCCAAGUAAGGGGAAAGUGCUUUUGGUCCUGGCCCAAGAUUUGCGAACUUGAGGGAACACCCAGGGGAAGGUGGAGCAGGUGUGACCCUACUGGGAAGUCUGCCAACAGAUGAAUUGGGAUCAUCGUCCUUGAAGGACCUUAUCUGAGCAGGUCAGCGACAAGCCCCCAACGAUUGGCUCCUCAUCGGUGUCUUCCUGGGACCUAGGAGUGCAUCCCCAACUGGAAAAAUCUAUCUGAAAUAGGCUAAGAAAACCAUCACCUCGCAGAACUCAAAAUUGCCAGCCAUAGAAGAUACUGAGGAAGCAUAUCAGUGUUUAGUCAGAAACCAGUCAAACAAGAACAUCUGGCCAGGGUCCUGCUUGCUGGGUGGUUUCUGCGUAAGCCUCAACAC